AAAAUAAAAAACAAACCUAACACCACUAAACCUAAAACGGCGGUCCCUCACAAUCACAAUCGAUUGACUCUACUUACAUUAUUUCUCCAUCUCUCAAUCGAUCGAUUUCUUCAACCAUGAAGCCUCUCACUACAUCCGAUCGAUUCCUUCCGCCAUCAAGCCUCUAAUUUCGACCGCUCACAACCAACAACAUCGUAUACUUCUAGACCUCCGCCUCAAGUAUCUUCUACCGACGUGCACACCUUCCGCUUCCUCUAGUCCAGUCACCGUCGGUGUCAGCCCUAAUUUUAGAGAUUCAUGUAGCCAGAAUGCCCUCCAUUGGGCUUCACUUUAUGGCAGGUUUUGAUUUCCUGAGAAUAGGCAUAUUUUCGUGGGCAUAAAGUUCAAAAGCAUUAUAAAAAAAUGGUGUGGUCUGUUGGGAUAGUGGAGAAAGCGAUACUCAGAUGUAGACGAAAGAGUCGUAGGUUGCAUGGAUUCCGUCCGGAAUUGAGAGCUCCGGAAUCGGAAUAUGAUUUCCUGAGAAUAGGUCGGAAACAUAAAUAUGUUGGAGUGGAAAAGGCAUUGGCUAUGGUGCAUUCCAUGGCUCAGAAUCCUGAAGGCCAGGAACAGGACAUGAGGCUCGUGGGGAAGUUUGAAAAGUUGAGCCAUGAAGAUAGCAGCAGCAAAUGACACUGAAUUGAGAGUUUUUGAGGCUGUGCUACCCAAUGGAACAACCAAAGCCUAUUUUGCUUCUUGCUUUAUGUUGUUUAUUAUUUCAAUGUUUUGAUAAUCCAAUCUUUUUAAUGGUUGUCAGUGCUACUCUUAAGUCUUACCUCCAACAAAAACCCCUUUUUCAGUUUGGUAUUUCCUAUUGAAUGUAAUAUCUGUGAAUUGUUUUUUAUUGAUUAAUUUCUAUUGUGAAAUCGGCAUUUGUCCAUUUUUUUAAUCUGAUGUCAACACUUCUUAUUAAUUGCUUCAAUCCAUAAAAAUUAUGUCGACUGCAAUAGGUGGCUAGGUGAUUUCAUAUUAUCUAAAGGUAAAUGUACACCUCAUGCAUAGUUAUUGUUUCUAUAACCUUAUAGUAUAUUUAUUUGACGUUUCUUAUUUUGAGUAUUAUGUAUUAUAUAUAUAAACUCGAUUUUCAUUUUUUAAGGAAUGGAAUCCACUACAGACAAGUUGAAAUCUCUUGUUAGGAAAUGGAAUUUUUUUAUUGAACGCUCAUGUUUAUGUGAAGACUACUGAAAGCUAUGCACAAUCAAGCCAAAUUAGUCAGGUUGGCGGUCGGCUAAGAUGGAUACACAGAUGCUGAUAUUGAUGAAAUUCGUAAAGAAUGGUCUUCUUUUGUGGCAACCUUUAUUUUUCGGUGAUAUUUUGUACCAGAAAAAAUUAUUUUCAGUAACUUAGAAAUGUUUGUUAGUAUUUCACAUAGGAUUUCUACAAUAUUUUUGAUAAAUUGUUAUUGCAUCUACAUAAUUCUGAUUUUAUUAUAAAUUUGCUUUGGAAAUAAAAUUAAGUCAUACAAAUUUUGUAUGUAUUUGAAUUAA